rnacentral:ncRNA from 2 species
GCCGCCGAGGGGCGCUGCGACCACGACGAAGAUCGUGGCCAGGCUCGGUGGAAACCAUGGAUCGAACGGCGCCCGGUGCCC